GUUGAACGCUGGCGGCGUGCCUAAUACAUGCAAGUCGAGCGAACGGACGAGGAGCUUGCUUCUCUGAUGUUAGCGGCGGACGGGUGAGUAACACGUGGAUAACCUACCUAUAAGACUGGGAUAACUUCGGGAAACCGGAGCUAAUACCGGAUAAUAUUUUGAACCGCAUGGUUCAAUAGUGAAAGACGGUUUUGCUGUCACUUAUAGAUGGAUCCGCGCUGCAUUAGCUAGUUGGUAAGGUAACGGCUUACCAAGGCAACGAUGCGUAGCCGACCUGAGAGGGUGAUCGGCCACACUGGAACUGAGACACGGUCCAGACUCCUACGGGAGGCAGCAGUAGGGAAUCUUCCGCAAUGGGCGAAAGCCUGACGGAGCAACGCCGCGUGAGUGAUGAAGGUCUUCGGAUCGUAAAACUCUGUUAUUAGGGAAGAACAUAUGUGUAAGUAACUGUGCACGUCUUGACGGUACCUAAUCAGAAAGCCACGGCUAACUACGUG
rnacentral:rRNA from 1 species